rnacentral:rRNA from 1 species
AGCGGCGGAUGGGUGAGUAACACGUGGGGAACCUGCCCCUAAGUCUGGGAUACCAUUUGGAAACAGGUGCUAAUACCGGAUAAUAAAGCAGAUCGCAUGAUCAGCUUUUGAAAGGCGGCGUAAGCUGUCGCUAAGGGAUGGCCCCGCGGUGCAUUAGCUAGUUGGUAAGGUAACGGCUUACCAAGGCGACGAUGCAUAGCCGAGUUGAGAGACUGAUCGGCCACAUUGGGAUUGAGACACGGCCCAAACUCCUACGGGAGGCAGCAGUAGGGAAUCUUCCACAAUGGACGCAAGUCUGAUGGAGCAACGCCGCGUGAGUGAAGAAGGUUUUCGGAUCGUAAAGCUCUGUUGUUGGUGAAGAAGGAUAGAGGUAGUAACUGGCCUUUAUUUGACGGUAAUCAACCAGAAAGUCACGGCUAACUACGUGCCAGCAGCCGCGGUAAUACGUAGGUGGCAAGCGUUGUCCGGAUUUAUUGGGCGUAAAGCGAGCGCAGGCGGAAAAAUAAGUCUAAUGUGAAAGCCCUCGGCUUAACCGAGGAACUGCAUCGGAAACUGUUUUUCUUGAGUGCAGAAGAGGAGAGUGGAACUCCAUGUGUAGCGGUGGAAUGCGUAGGUAUAUGGAAGAACACCAGUGGCGAAGGCGGCUCUCUGGUCUGCAACUGACGCUGAGGCUCGAAAGCAUGGGUAGCGAACAGGAUUAGAUACCCUGGUAGUCCAUGCCGUAAACGAUGAGUGCUAAGUGU